UUCCUACGGGAGGCAGCAGUGGGGAAUAUUGCGCAAUGGGCGGAAGCCUGAUGCAGCAACGCCGCGUGCGGGAUGACGGCCUUCGGGUUGUAAACCGCUUUCGCCUGUGACGAAGCGUGAGUGACGGUAAUGGGUAAAGAAGCACCGGCUAACUACGUGCCAGCAGCCGCGGUGAUACGUAGGGUGCGAGCGUUGUCCGGAUUUAUUGGGCGUAAAGGGCUCGUAGGUGGUUGAUCGCGUCGGAAGUGUAAUCUUGGGGCUUAACCCUGAGCGUGCUUUCGAUACGGGUUGACUUGAGGAAGGUAGGGGAGAAUGGAAUUCCUGGUGGAGCGGUGGAAUGCGCAGAUAUCAGGAGGAACACCAGUGGCGAAGGCGGUUCUCUGGGCCUUUCCUGACGCUGAGGAGCGAAAGCGUGGGGAGCGAACAGGCUUAGAUACCCUGGUAGUCCACGCUGUAAACGGUGGGUACUAGGUGUGGGGCCCAUUCCACGGGUUCCGCGCCGUAGCUAACGCUUUAAGUACCCCGCCUGGGGAGUACGGCCGCAAGGCUAAAACUCAAAUGAAUUGACGGAA
rnacentral:rRNA from 1 species